rnacentral:rRNA from 1 species
CCUACGGGAGGCAGCAGUGGGGAAUAUUGGACAAUGGGGGCAACCCUGAUCCAGCCAUGCCGCGUGUGUGAAGAAGGCCCGCGGGUUGUAAAGCACUUUCAGUGAGGAAGAACGCCUGGUGGUUAAUACCCAUCAGGAAAGACAUCACUCACAGAAGAAGCACCGGCUAACUCCGUGCCAGCAGCCGCGGUAAUACGGAGGGUGCGAGCGUUAAUCGGAAUUACUGGGCGUAAAGCGCGCGUAGGUGGCUUGAUAAGCCGGUUGUGAAAGCCCCGGGCUCAACCUGGGAACGGCAUCCGGAACUGUCAAGCUAGAGUGCAGGAGAGGAAGGUAGAAUUCCCGGUGUAGCGGUGAAAUGCGUAGAGAUCGGGAGGAAUACCAGUGGCGAAGGCGGCCUUCUGGACUGACACUGACACUGAGGUGCGAAAGCUUGGGUAGCAAACAGGAUUAGAUACCCGUGUAGUC